AUGGAAUGAAAUGCAUUCAAGGGAUAAUGUCUCUCUGCCAUCAUAUUUCAAGUGCAAGACCACAACGAAGUGAAAUUCACCUUCACACUGCACAUGCCAACCUGAUCCAGCCAUGGAUGGAAGCAAGGCCAGGGAAUGCUUGCUGCAGCCCCAUUAAGACUUGAACACCAACAGGCAGCUGAGGAAAGGCAGCAGGCUAAAUGGUCAGGACAAAUGAGCUGUUAUUUGGGGCAAGCUGGCUUUGUUCCUGCCUUUCAGGAGCCCACACAUGAGCUCUCUGAACCUGGGAGCAGAUGAUCAGCAGUGAAAGUGCUGGAGGGCCUCAAUCUGCAAGUGCUGUUCAUGAAUUAUUAACAAGGCUUCUCCUGCCAGGGAAGUUAUGCACAGGAAAGAAGAGAUUCCCUCUCUGCAGAGCUGCUGCUAUCCAAAGGACAAAACAGCAGCCAGCAGGACUCUUGUCUCCUCUGUCACAGGUCCUCAGCUCUUUGAUCUUUUUUCUGACAUCAGGU